AUGUACAAAAAUUUCGUCGAACACCCCCCUGUUACUUCUUAAUACUCAAAACAACAAAACUCACCUCAAUUUACCGUCUUCCUCGCUUCACAACAAUUCCAUGGCGGGUUUUCAAAAAUGAAAAAAAUCACUUUGGAGGGAACUUGAAAAUGAAACCAGCGGAAAAAGGCGGCAAAAUACAUUAAACAUCAAAACCUCUCUCCCCUUUCACUCCACUUUUAGUCUCUAUUCUCCUCCUCUCACCACUCUUAUGGCGACCUCUUCGAAUCUCCGUCUUCUUCCAUCGGGACCUCGUUUCGACGAGCAGGGUUUUGAAGCAGCCAUUCAUGGAGGAUUACUCUGUCUCUUUGAAGCGCUUAAUUAGUAUGGUCACUGACUACUCUCGACCUGUCACUUUCUUUCUCUUCGAUCCCCGAUAAAUCUCAGAGCAACAUUGUGCAAAGGGCGUUAUUGAAAAUUGCUAUAGCAAAUUCAGCGUUUGGUAGUAGAAUCCUAGAAAAAUGGUACGCACCACUCGAGUAUUUAAUCCUAUUCAAAUAACUUUCAUGUUCACUAUUGUGUCAAAUGCACUUAUAUAACUCAUAGUAAUAUGCUAUUUUAAGAUUAUUUUUUUAGGGGUGAUCGAGGUUGCUAUAUCCCAAAGAAUAUACUUUAGGACAUUUGCUGGUUGUGCUUAUAGACAUAGUGUUCUUCAUAAGGAAAUAAAAGAAGACAAGGCUGCAACUGAAUAGAUGGAAGCAUUCAUCGUGGAGAUAACUCAGUACGUGAAUUUGUAUUGUGAUUAAAGAAGGUAUGGUAUGCGAGAUAUCGACGUUGCAAAGGGAAGCCCACUAACCCCACCAACUUCCGCAUGAGAUUUUGAUGAUUCGAGAUCCUCCUCUCUGGAUGUUUCUGGUCCUUCCAGCAGCUUGUUAAAGUUCAAGGCCACUGUUCAGUAAAGUUGAUUACUUUUUAGUAUUACUUUUGGGACUUGUAUACAAGUGAAUUUUGAGUUGAGAUAUAAAUUUUCUCAUUUGUAUUGCGAACAUACUUUUAAUCAGAAACACCACAUUUAUCUAUAUUGUAUUCUUUAUUGAUCAUUAGAGCUUUAAAAAAAAUUAAAAA